UGCGUGUGCAGUCUGUGUGGUGGACCGCAGGCCUCUGAGACCCUGAAGUUUCUCACUCUUCCUCGGGUCCUGGUCCUUCUGGUGCAGCGCUUUGACUUCACGUGCUCCAUGAUCAAGCUGAAGAAUCGACUGGAGAUUCCCGAGGAGCUGACACUGUCCUGUGUUAAAGAGAGAACAAAGCAGCCAGAGUCAGACGAAAACCGCAGAGCUCGCAGCCGAUCAUUUCUCCAGAGAAUAUUCAGGAAAAAGAACAGAGUUGCUGCACAGACAACACAGGAAAGAGAUAGAUGGAUGGAUGGAUGGGUGGAUGG
rnacentral:lncRNA from 1 species